UACGGGGGGGGUAAGCGUUGUUCGGAAUUACUGGGCGUAAAGGGCUCGUAGGCGGCCAACUAAGUCAGACGUGAAAUCCCUCAGCUUAACUGGGGAACUGCGUCUGAUACUGGAUGGCUUGGAUUUGGGAGAGGAAUGCGGAAUUCCAGGUGUAGCGGUGAAAUGCGUAGAUAUCUGGAGGAACACCGGUGGCGAAGGCGGCAUCCUGGACCGGUAUUGACGCUGAUGCGCGAAAGCCAGGGGAGCAAACGGG
rnacentral:rRNA from 1 species